GAAGGUGGAAAGUGGAAAGUGGAAGGUGGAAAGUGGAAAAUGGAAAGUGGAAAGAGAGAAUGAAAGAAAACGAGACAAUUGAGCUGUUCGAAUUGAGCUGUUCGAGUCUGAUGAAAUGCAACAUGGUGUUGAAUGCUUCGGUUCAGAAGGGGGUUGUGGAAGUGCAUGUUGACCCUGAGGACGAUGAAGCUGUGAAGAAGAUGAACCUCACAGUCACCGAUAAGAUGCUUACUCAGGCUUCCUAUUUAAUGCUCUCAGAUGUACACACAGAAAACUUCGGCAAGGAAACCACCGACCGGGUGCUGCGCGAGGCCAGCCGCGGUUGGUUCAGCUCAUGGAUUCCUUGGUUCUAGGAAUGGCAGAUUAGUCCGUGGUGGAUACAUAUUUGGCCUGUUAUAUUGGUUAUUGCUCAUGGGAGGAGGCAAAGAGACUCUCUUUUUGGAUGCAUAACAUCCCUACCUUGGCUAGAGUUUCAUUUCGAUACCUUUUGUAUACUUUUGACAUGCAAGUGUUGGCAUGAUAUAGCUCUUUUGAAGUUGUUAAUGUAUAACUUAUUUAGAAGGAUGUCUUGCUUCCUUUUGGAUGUGUAAUACGAACUUAAGUACUUUAACUUGAAUGUAAUGAGGCCAAGGGCCAAGAACUUUUAAUGUUUGAAA